rnacentral:rRNA from 1 species
GUCCUAGCUGUAAACGAUGAACACUUGGUAUAGCGGGUAUCGAAUCCCGCCGUGCCGGAGCUAACGCAUUAAGUGUUCCGCCUGGGGAGUACGGUCGCAAGGCUGAAACUCAAAGGAAUUGGACGGGGGCCCGCACAAGCGGUGGAGCAUGUGGUUUAAUUCGACGCAACGCGAAGAACCUUACCUGGGCUCGAAGUGCAGUGGAAGCCGGAUGAAAGUUCGGUGCCCGCAAGGGCCGCUGUAUAGGUGCUGCAUGGCUGUCGU